CUUUACCUUCCCUCCUCCUCCCUGGCAGGGCAGCACUGUGGUUAGCAGACCCCCCUCAUGCCUUGCUGCUCCCUGGUGCUCUUGCCCUGCAGCACUGUGACAACUGCAUCCCCUCGCUGCCCUGCAUGGGAGCUUAUUGCAAACUGCUGGCAUCACAGACCCCAAGGAAAACCCAGCAGCUCUGGCACUUAACCGUUAGGCAUUUCCUUGCUGCACACUGUUGUCUGGUACCCUACUGCCCACCGGUGUUGGUGGCUGAGCACCCAUCCCCAGCGCGGAAAAGUUUAAUAGAAAUAAUUCCGGUGGUGGCUUCUCAUGAUACUGGGAGGACACUGUUGGAACGUUGAAUUCAGAAGGCAAAACAUCAAAUCAAACCUUCCACGAGCACAGAGCAGAGGGGAAUGGUGCACGGAGGUAAAUGCUUGGCACAGCUCAGCUCGCAGUUAAUGAGCUCAGCCGUGUUUGUAAUUUCAGUUCAGUGGAUCUCUGAAUUUCACUUUCCAGGUCAUUGCAUCUAGUCCAGAGAAUCAAUAUGAAUUAUCAGUAAUUUGUCAGAGGCUGAUAAAUGGCAUUAUGAUGUGGAACUGCCGCUAAGCCUUGCAUUGUCCUUGCUUGUUGGGUCAGCGGUGUUUUUUUAAUCUUUUGAUGUCACAGUGAUAUGCUGUUCUACAGUAACUGAUCUGCUGGCUUCUUAGGAGGCUGAGUAAACACUGGCAUGGCUGCACAAUAUGUUUGUUGUAGGGAGAUGUCAGAGCAGGGGUAGCAUUCCUUAUGUUGUGAAACAAUGGCCGCACACAAGCCAGGAGCACUUGUCCUCCCUCGUGGCCAUUUCCGCUCUGUUCACAGACUUCCCAAAGGACAGACCCUGUACCCACACACCCUGAGGAUGUGUGCCUGCAGAUGCUGCUGGACUCAUGAGUGCAAACACUAUGAUCAGAGAGUGCAACAAAGAACAAGGGCGAACAAUACGCUGUAAGUCAGAAGUUAAGUGAGCGCUGCACGGCAGUCUCCAGCAUGAGAUCCCAGUUCGGUGCUUUGGAGUCUGUUGGAUACUUCAGCUUGGGCCUCCAGACUCAGAAGUCACACACAGAGUAGAAUGAGGUACAAGUUAAUUAACACCUGUUAACGUGGCUCAUUCAGCUCUAGCACACCGUUAGCAGCACUGUAGAGUCUCAGAUCAACUUGAGAAGAACUGAGGAUGUACAGCCAGUCCUAUCUUAUUUUGCUUAAAUAAUAAAGAUACACAUUCACAAAGCAAGCAGACAAAAGCAAUUUAAUAGCCCUGUCCUAGGCCAGUCUACAAGAGCAAAAUGAUGAUAUGAUGUAAACUAUAACAAGUUCCAGAAACUUUUCCACCUGGAGAUUUAUGACUCAAUUAUCAAUUUCCCAUCUUGAUUGGAACAGCUUGCAAGACUAUAAUUAAUAUUUUCUAGCUGCUUAGGUCAGACAGAGGUGCAGAAGGUUCAACAUUUCUGUACUGAAGUCACUGAGGUGCUGUGCAGAGCAGCUGGGAGCAGCCCCAGCCUGCAGCACCCCCGCCAGCACUGCACCAUGCUGGCUGCAGAGCCGCUCCUGCUGCAGGGAAAGCUUUGCUCUCUUUGCACUGAGACCCGAGCCCAACUUCUUCCCCUGCUGAAGCGAAGGUAAAAGCAAAUCCCACCAGUGAGGUCCUGCAGCUGAGGCUGCCCUGCAGAGCCACACAGUUGCUGUCCCUGCACUGGGCACCUGAUGUGCAGCACAGAGGCUGUGUCUGUCCCCUGCCAGCAGUGCCCACGUUAUGCUUCAGGAUGCCACUGUGUGAGUUCUGGGUCUGCAUUUAUACAACAACCUCCUGGAUUCUGAACUAUAAAUGCAAUUUUUCAAAUUAAAGGAAGACUGUAAACUUCAACACCUGUUAAAUAUGAUCUGGCUGUGUAUCAUAAGGCAGUGAGAGCCUUUCCCCUCAGGGCCCCUGACGUGACAGGGAUGUAGUGCUGUCCCAGCAUCCCAUGGGGAGGACCCACAGAGCUGCUUUGGCACCACAGCACUUGAUGCCCCCAGCCUGCUCCCCACUAGUUUUUUAGCAGCAUUACCUGGGGCUGCAGGAUCAGGAUAAAGAUGCCCAUAGGCCUGCAGUCACCUGGGAAGCUGUCUCACUGCAUCCCUGCUGAGGGAUGAGAAACUUCUUCUCCCUCUUGUUAUGCUGAGACAAAUGGCACCUUGGCAGGCAAGCCUGUGGCUGUCAGAUGAGAAGAGAAGCAAGGCUAUUUUAAAAGCCAGUAAUUACAUCUGAUAAAAGGGAGCUGCACAAGGGAAAUAGGCUCCUACUUUGCGGUGGGCUUCAGCUUCUCCUCCUUCAGGACUGACAGAGGGGAGAGAGGAUACAGAGGAAAAAUCACUGAUCCCCAUGUGUGCUCAUCAGACCUGAUAUCCUGUGCUAGAGAAUUUCACCUUCUGCCUAAAUUCUGUGGUGCAGAAUCAGGCUGUGCUGCAGAGGAUGCUGGGCCAUGGCUGGGCUGGGGAGGGUGUGGGGCUGUGAGCACCAAGGGACUCUGCCCAGAAUGGGACUGUGCCCACCAUGGGGCUGAGCCCACCACAAGGCUGGAGACCUUCCACGCCUCAUGCUCUGCAGGACCCACAGAAGGUCCUGCUAUCUCAUCCAAAGCCACGGGGCUGAGUGCUCAGAAAGGAGAAUCAGGCAUGCUCCAAACCAGGCAGGUUCUGCCCUGCACUCUGUCUCCAGCUCAGAAGCUGACAUGUGGACAGGUUCAUUCUGAGGUCACUAAAACAUCCCUGAAAGUCGUGUUUAGAAAGCUACCUCAGACAACACCUUACCUUUACUGCUUUUCUUGCUGUAGGCAAGGAAAAAUUCCCGCAGAGUUCUGGCCAACACUUCCUGGAAAUUGCAAGAAACAACAAUGAUAUUUUUAUUGUACGUAUUCAGUUUGCUCAUUUCCAAGGGAGAUGCUAUGCCUGAGUCUUUUGCCUGGAGACUCUCUUCCAGUACACUGAGGGUGUCUGUUCCCAUUAGAAAUGCUGCAACAAAUAGGAAUCACAUGCAGCACUUCAUCAGAAUCUUCAGGCUCACAGAGAAAACCCCCUUUGUUUAUUCUGCUGUGCUCUUUAUUUAUUUUGGUGCGAUGUGGUGUAUGAAGAGGAAAGCGAUCCUAAAGGAAUUACAACUCGUGGAGAUGAGAUAAAUAAGACAACUAUAAAAGCUGUACUAAAAAGCAGUUUUGCAUGCGAGUUCUAACAAAUUGUGUAGUGGUUUGUAAUUCCAAUAUGUGAAAGAGAAGCUAUUUCUGAAACUAAGAUUUUGGUAAUAAGUAUGCACUUGAAUUUUAGUUAAGAUAAUAAUAUGCCCUCAGGGUACAUCUUCUUGAAACCACUUUGCAUGCGUGCCAUAUUCCUUUAGAAAUAAAAGGAGCUGCUAUUAUUUGACAGUAACUGCAUAUGCAGAGAUAAUUAAGAAGAGGAUGCACCCCGUGUGUGAUGUCCUGCAGGGAUGUGCAGUGUGGUGUACUGAGCACAGCGGUGCUGUGGGUGAGUGGGACAAUGGCCCCCGAGCUGUGGGGCUGAGCAGAGGGCCACAGGCACAGAGGGGAGGGAUGGAUCCUUGGGGAAACUAGGCAGGCCAUUGGUUUGGCAGCUGUGCUGUGAAGGUUUUGCCCAAAUAAAAGAUUGUUGUGCUCUGCUUAGCAAAUGUUUUUGUUAUUCCAGUAACUGUUUUGGGGGAAAUUGAGAAAAAAUGCAACUUAGAAGAGUUAAACGGCAACUGGAGAGACUGUGGUUAUUAGCUCAGAAAGGGAAGAGUCUCAGGUGACCUUUCUUGUGCGAAAAACUAUCGACUGCAUAUUAUACAUAUUGGAAUAACACGCAUAUUUGGGUUUAAUAGGAGGACUGAUGCCAGGACAUUGGCCACCAAGCAGUGGGUGGGAGCCGGGGGAGGCCAGAGCAUCCCUGAGCUGCUGCCUGAUGUGGAGCAUCCCUGGUCCCUCUGAGCUGCCCACCCACAGCACAGUGUCCCUCAGCCCCACUGCUGGCCUUGGCCGGUCUGCCACUGCCCAACUGCCCCCCAUCCCUUCGAUGGCUGCCAGCUGCCCUUGGGUCCCUUCUGCUGGCAGUUCACUCCAAAGCAGCCUCACACAGCAUCACUUCUUUUACACAGCCGUACCUCAGGGACGCGCUGUGUCUGACCUCGGGGCUUUUCAGACCUUUUGGUUCAGGUUCUCCUGGCAUCUGUCGGUAGAUUAACAGAGCAUAAAGUGGACCAAGGGGAGCCGGGGCUGCCAGGAGUGACCUCUAUCCCAGCCAGAUCAGUACUGCUGCUUGGAGGAAGCCUGGGCACAGCAGUGCUGGAGUCCACGCUGGGUCCCAGUCUGUGGCUCCCUGAGCACACAGUGCUGGCACCGCCAGGCACAGGACGGCAGCCCUGCAGAAAUGCUGUCAGCCUCCGGCUCAUCUCUGUGGCCUUUCUCCUCAAGUUCUUUGUGGCUGGACAUGAGAGCAUCUGCUGCAGCGGGGAGAAAUCAAUAUCAUUACUAUGCCAUCGGGCUACAUCUAACUACAAUAUCCUGGACAAGCAGGAGGCACAUCAUUCACAGAUAAUGCUGCAUUGCAGGUGAAAGGAAAAUGUCGUGGCUGGAGGGGAGUGUGUGGGGAGAACGGUAAUAAAAAGAAACAAUCCAGAUCACCUUUUCCCAUGAAAGCAAUUACAGAAGGCAUUGGGCUUUGACAUGGCUCUGUAAUUAACAGGAAGGCAAAUGGUUAAAGAUUAGUGGCUAUUAACGAGAUGCUCUGUAAGCAGCUUACUGGCCCCCUGCUCUGGGAGGUCUGUGGGCAAGCUAAGCAGCUUGUGCUUUUGCAUAGGUGACCUCUCCUUCUCAUUCUGAAUUUAAUUAUGCAUGGACCAGUGCCUGGGUGGACGCGGGCUGGUGCCCAGGGAGCUGCACCUGGGAGGGGGAGCGGCAGUGCGAGGAGCUGAGGUCAUGGUCACACCUGUCCUGCGGGGUGGUGGGAAAGGCAGGUGCAGGUUUGUCUCCCAGUUAACUUAUUUUGGGGUACUGAGACCAAAGGAAAUCUUUCCUCUACUUCCUCUACUUUUAUCCAAGUAGAAUGGUGACAUUCCCCUCUGCCAAAACCCAGAAUGGAAAUCCUGCAAGCAAAUAAAGUGCAGCUGAGAGGUAUCCACAAGCUGCAGGUUGCUUCGGUUUGGGGUUUGUGUCAGCUCAGCCUACCCAAGGGCACACGACGAGCCAGCAGCAGGGCUGUGCCUGGGGCUGUCCCCAGGGCUGUGUGCAGCUCUCCUGCAGGCAUGGACUGUGGCAUCUCACGGGGCAGUGCUUUGCUUCUCCUUGGCCAAGCACAAGGCUCCUGCCAGGUGGGAAUAAUUAUGAUGACCUGCCUCAGGCUUGGAGAAUAUUUGCCCAUUCAACAGUUUACACUGAAUAUAAAUAGCAGAUUCCUCCCUGUGCAUGCACAGUCAAGGCAAAGUAGCUUUCUGUGCCCCUGAUGAACACGCAAGUACUCAUUAACCCCUUGCAUGCUGCAGGGGUUACGUCCUGGCUAGACUGUGGGCAGAGAGUGGCUUUUGCUGCCACCAGCCAUCCCCUACAUGCAGGACAUGGCACCAAAAUCCAGUCAGUGACAAUGUGGAGUCCUCUGAGAAUGUCCCCACUUCCCAAUCUGCACCUCUGCAGUGUGUCCACCUCCCCAGUACAUGGGAUAGGAAAUGUCUGCGAGAAAACCUAACUUGAAGCACAUCAGAAGUACAGGAAGGCUGUGACCACCUGUCAAAGAACUUUGCCACAAUUUCUGCCAUGGAGAAAAUAGACACCAGUGCUUCUGUGCACAUCUGGGACUUUUCAUGGGUAGAGAAGUGCUCCUGUGUGCAGAGUGUGAGUUCCAGAAGCAGCAGGAGCAUCUCUGCUCAGCAUCCAUUGCGCACAGCCCUCUGAGCACUUGAUGCCUCUCUGGGCAUUUUUCUGAAUCUGUAUUACACUUUGAUUCUGAUUAUCAAAGAGAAAAAUCCAUGGUAAGCUUAAAUAAACAAAUUGUCUGCUCCUACUUCAUGUAUUCAUUGCUAUGCACACUGAGAGCACUUCAGGGAUGGGAGACUUUUCUCACAGCUUGUUUGUGCAAAACUGCUAUCUGGAAUACCUAACUGCAUGGAUAAGUGUCAAAUAUUAAAAACAUACAUGUUUGUGUUAAAAUAUGAACUAAAUGCAAACAUAUUUAGCAAUAAAAUUAUAAGUGGCCACUGAAGACUGUGAGGGAUGUUGUGAUGUUCCAUCCAGAUUUCCAGCACUGAACUUCUGCUCCCAGUAGCAGAAGCCCACCUGCCUUCCAGGCCAACAGGGGGGGAACUCCUUGGCCAUCAGGUUGCCAUCUCUUUGAGGGGUGUGUGCAGAAGGAAAAACAGUGGGCAGGAGUGGGGACAGGAGAGCAGACUGUGUGCUCCAAGCUGAGAUGCCAGACUGAGGGCACUGGGACUGUGUUUGAGGUGCCUGCUACAGGCAAGGCGAGCCACAUCUCUAGUGCCACGAGACUGAGUGUGGUACUGGCAGGGCUCUGACUGCAAUAUACACCAUGCCAGGAAAUGGCCUUACAGACAUUACCAGUAAUUAGUAAGGUUAUUUCUAUGCCCGUGCCCCAGUUUGUGGUGGUGGUAGAAGCAGUGGUCACCUGGGGAGGAAGACGGGCAGGACAGCUCUGUGCACCAACCAGGACCUGCAGGCACUUGAGGGGCUGAGGGGGUGGGGAGGGGGGGGUGGCUCAGCCCAACCCCUGCAUCCCUCUGGGCUCUCAGAGAUGAGCAUGACCAAAAAGAGUGAUCUGCAGUCCCAAGUCAACUCCUGAGCCUCCAGGCAGUGCUUCUUUGUCAUCUGUACUGCAGAUGGGGGAUGCUGUUGCUGUGAGUGUUUGCAAACUGUCAUUUAAUUUAGCCUCCUGCCUUCCCAGAGGUGAUAGUUUCAUUGGAGGUGUGAGGAUUUAUGCUCUUCCUGCUUUUAACUCACAUUACUCAUCCUCACUCCUAAUUCCAGACCCUGUGUCCUGAGCAGAGAAAUGGAAAACCAACUCAGCUGCAACGUCCCCGCCAUCCCACUUUUGCCUUUUGAGUUUCAAAACCAAAAACAAUGAUUUUAAGUUAAGGUGGAUCUCAAGUCAGGCCCCAUCCUGCCUCUGUGGUGUGUUGGAGAAGACAUGCACAUAACCUUGUAUUGCAGGAGCUACCUAUGGAUUUUCAUAGCAACACACUGCACUGUCUGGAGUGAGUCCCUGCAUUGCUGCAGGGCAGCACAGUGCAGUUAGACAGCACCUGGAGUCCUCUUGACAAAUUCGAUUGAUUGCAGCAGAAAUGAGAAGGAAAGCUGUAAACAAGCUGCCAUUGAUUGCUGGAGUGGCAUUGGCUUCACAGGGAACUUGAAGUAACAUCAGGUUUGGGAACUGCAGCCACACGAAAUAACAAAGAACAACGGAUGUCUGCAUUUCUGAAGGGUUUGGAUUGAACUUUUACAAGCAUUGGAUUGUGCAUCAGCCGUUGCAGAAGCACCAUUCCUCAUUUUCUGUGGAGAAAGAAACAGCAGCAUUUCAUGUUCACCUGGAUGUCACACCUGGAGCUGGGAUGCCCCAGUGCUACCAUCUCACAGUGCUCUGCCAAUGGGACUGCGGGCAGUGCAUGCUGCCAGCAGCUGCUCACAUUGCACGGAAGGAACCUUUGCACCUCAUGGGAGCACGGACAGGAGUGUGUCCCACUGUGUCCCUGCCUCCUGCCCAGCUGGGUCAGUGGUGCUUUGAAGCUGGUCCGUGUAUUGGUGGUAGCUGGGCUGCUCUCCUUGUGCUGCUGAAGACUGAUCCAGGCUCAUGUCCCUGCUCAUUGCAGGGGAGCUGGACUGGAUGGCUUUUAAAGGUUCUUUCCAACUCCAAGGAUUCCAUGAUUCUCUGAUUGAGUACUUGAUACAACACUGCUUCCCUGGGGUAAAGUUAAACUCAUUUGUUCCAACUUUCUCAUUAGCUUACAAAAGCACUUUUCUCUCAUUCAUUCACACCUAAAUAUUGCACUGCUGUCUUUACAGCUGCAGGAAUGCCCAUUGCCUCUCUGACCAUUGUCCCUGCUGACAGUGCCUGUGCCCCAUCUCCCCAGACACGGUCACGCUCUACCCCCUGGUGAAACAGAAGGGCACCCACCUCUGUGUGUGUGAGGGAGAGGGCUGUGACAAAUUUCAUUUGGAUGUGAUUCAAUGAAUAAAGUACGAGGCGAUGUGCCCAGAGUGACUCAUCUGUGUGCAUAGCUGCUGGCUCCAUGGGUCUGAUGGCCGAGGGCUUUCUUGGUGAGAUGAAGUGUGAAUGCCUCCUUAGGCACGAGGCAGUAACUGCCAUGCCCAGGGUGAGGAAGCCCACUUCUGCACAGCUGCUCAUGGGCCACAGCUGGACAGCUGUGUUGUUAAAGACACAGGAAGUCUUUUUCACUGUUCCUUUAGGCAUGGGAACAGGCCACAAGCUGUCCCAGUUUCCCAUUGAAGGAAGAGCUGAGGUUUGGUGUGUGCCCAGUGGUGCCCGGUGGGAGCAGAGCUACACCAUUGGGCUGAGCCGCUUUGGGGAAUGGUGUUUAUUUUUCAUUUGGAGGGAUUUUUCCAUGUCUUCUACCCCAUGAUUAAAAGCACAGCCAGUUGCACAUCUGGUUUGCAAGGUCAGAUGCAGAACCAUCAAAAUAUUACAAGAAAGACUAUUGCAAGGUUUUAAAUUUUCCCCUGCCAAAGCUGAUAUUGGAAGGAAUACUUCAUGAAAGCCCCCUCGUGUGACAUUUCUAGCUAGAAUCAGAGAUCAAAGACCUAUUCCAUUUUCAGACUCAGGUCUUGCAUUAAAAUGUUAACCUUUUUUUUAAUGUUUCACCAUUGUAUUUGAAAUCUGGUAUAGGAGUUCAGCCGGCACAGAACAUUUCUUAGUAAGAUAUUGUAGGAAAUGAUUGAUUUUUUUCUGCAGAGAAGUUCAGCUUGUAUUAGUGAGCUGCUGGGUCAUUUGGCAAAGAAAGUUCUGGGAAAAUGACAGGUCAGAAGAACUGAUGAAGCCUGGAAAGGCACGAAGCGCAGCAGCUCCUGUUCACGGGCAACUGGAAGUGAGAAGAAUUUCUUGUAUGCCUCACUGUUAUUAAAAUAUCAAGUAUCCUUAGCUGCCAAUUACAUAACCUCUGUGCUACAAGAGCAAAUUAUUUUAAUUAUAGGAUUGUUGCAUGCUAAGAGAUCAUUUCUUUGGAAAAUAAAAUCAGCUGAAAUUCAGGCAUUACAGAGAACAAGUCAAUUACUUUGAGCUAGAGACUGUAGUGAGGGAGGUGGGAGGCUUGGAGAAGUUUCCCCAGGUCUGGCAAGAAGCAGCAUAUUCAAGUUAAAUACAGGUUAGGCUGCAUCACUGCUAGCUUCAUAUGAUUAUAUUGUGUUAUUGAGAGAAACGGGUUGGUAGAGGUUGUAGAACAGAAGAGGUGAGCACGGAAAGGAACGGAGCAUUUCUCCCACUGGAACAGGAGCAGGAGAGCCGUGUGCCCUGGAAUGGGCGCCGGGGGCACGGUACUUCACCCAGGGCCAGCGGCUGCAUUGGGCACAGCUGGGGUCUUUGUGCCAUGCAUGGGGACUGGAGCUGCUUCCUCAGCCUGCUGCCAACCUGCAGCCUCACUGCAGCUUCCAGCAGUGGCACCAGGGAAGCAGCCUUGGGGGAGCUCUCAUGGGACCGCUCUGGCACCAGGGCAGAUGGCAAAGGCCAGCACUGCCACCAUGGGGACACAUCCAGUGCCAGCACCACUGCUCAGCACUGGGGAACUGCAGGAGGUGUUGAGUCCUAUGGAAUCCACGCUGGGAGUUCUACAGGUUUCUUAGUAUGCCCUUUCACAAGAUAAGACGUCCUUGGCAGAAAAUGACGUCUUUUCUAAUCUGCCUUCUUUUCUACGCAGAAGAAACAAUAACUGUAUGGAAACGUUCCCCCAAUCUGCUGAAUGAAGCUGAAAGAGUUUUGCAGAUCCACUGAAAUCUUCCUUUCUCCUUUUAGGAGAUAAAGUGCAGUUUUAAGUAGAGGAGAGCAGUAAGGUAACAUCUGCUGGACAAGCACUUGUAUUUCAAAAGACGCGCAAGACACUAAGGUCUCCAAUGAGCCUUUGUCUUGCUUUUAUUGAGUGCCUUGUCAUUCUGGAAAACACUUUAGAGCUUGUUACAGCUGAGGAUGGCUGCAAAAUCUGGUACCAUAACGACCCGCAGUGACAUACCCGUUUCUAUGUGUCUGUUCAGAUCACAGACCAGGGAUGCGCAAAACAGAUGUACUGAGGUGUCAAGGAACUGUUACUAAUUUGCAAUUACAUUUGACUUCCUUAGACAGCUCUCUUCAGAGAAAGUUUCAUGUGGAGCUUUGUAUUUAAUGAGUUAUCUUUCUAGGUUUCUAAUUUUCAAAUAUUGACCAACCAUUGUUACACCAAUAUAUUCUACUUACAAACGAAAAAGUUCUGUGACUCAUCAGCAGGAGAUGGAUGGUGGGAACUGUGCUGCAGCCCCUCUCUUGGGCAACUCCAUCACUAUGCGACUCCAGCAAAACUGGGGCUUUGUCUGCACAGUGCUGUGGCUGCAAAGGGCACAGGGCAGCCCCAUGCUUCCCCAUGGCUCCUAGGCAGCUCCACACUGUCACUGUGGGCUGAGGUCCUUCCUGCUGCAUCAGUGCAAGGCUGUUGGGGAGCACCAGCUGUGCUCUUCUGGGAAUGCUGCCGGCUGCUGGCUGUCUUCUGCAGUCUGGACAAGUGCUUGAGAUCUCCACAGACAAUUUGAAAUUGAGGCACUGCAAAGCAUGGCAAAGCUCCAGAAAGAGCCACUGACAUGGCUGCUCCCAGGGACAUGUUCAUGGAGUGUGUGUGGAAUUUGGGUCUGAAUGUGUGUAUGCUUGUAUAUAAACGUGCAUGCAUGUAUACCUGCGUACACAUGUGCAUAU